UGCAAAAAUUAGCCGAUGGUUACUCGAUAGAUCACAUAACGCUGCGUGAGACUUCAACUCGCUUACUUUGGACACAUGAGAGACCGAUUGCUGGUGAAGGAUGUCAUGGUUGGCAAAGUAAAAGGCCAAAGGAGGUGAGGAAAACCCUCCAUGAGACAGAUUUACACAAGAGCCUCAACAGUGGACUCAGGCAUACCUGUGAUCGUGAAGACGGAGCAGGACUGAGCAAUGUUUUGUUGUCUAACACAUGGGAUUGCCAUGAGUCAGAGCCAACUUGACGGUGACUGACACCACCGCCACCCCUUCCUGAGGCUAAUUUCAUGACUCUCAUUGACCCAGCAGCCUUCAGGGUCAAGAACCUCUACCCAGCUGUCCCACACCACUGCAUCUUUUGUGUGGGUGUCCAAAACCUGGUGGUCUCCCGAUCUGGCCUGUGGGACCUUAGAGAAAUUUUACCAUUUAAGGUAAGAUGUUUAGGCAGGCCCUAACUGUAAACAUGACUGGUUAAAAAAAAAAAAAAAAUCAACAAAUCAUCUUUAUUAAAAAAAAAUCUAUUUUUUUCCUUUUAAGACAAACCUGGAGGAGCAUUUUCACAAAGGCAAUCGAAACCUCAUGCUGCCCUGGUACAACAAGACAGAGUGUGAAAGAUGCAGCUGGUGUUUGGUGUGAGUGAUGACCCUAGAUUCUGAAGCCAACCACAGAGCUGGAAGGACCUGGCCCAGACUCAACACGUAACGAGUGUCACAUGUACCCAUAAGUGACACUCUAUGUUGCAUUAAGCCUUGGUUUGGCCUCUUUCACCUUUUCCCGCCAAGCUCAUUUUGAGGUCUUGAAAAUACACACUACAGCCGCCAGGACCUGUUUUGGGAAAAAGGGCGGUUUCAGAGAAAAUGACUUGAAAUCAGGUUAGAGUAUCUCCUUUUUCAGUUUGCAAGCUUUAUAAACUCCUUGUCUUCUUGUAUUGGAAAAGAGAACUCUGUCAACAUACUCCAAACAUCUCUCAGACUAGUUCAGCCCUAGCUUAAUAUUCUGGUUACACAUUGCACAAGCCAUGAGACCAACUGUAAGGCAAUCUUGACACAGCAGAUGCAGGAGGGAGUCUGAAUUACCUCAUACCUGGAGAUUAGCAGGUCCUCCAGAUCUGGGAGCAGCACCCAGACACUGUUUUUCCUUUUAUUAAUAAUCCCAUUACCUCCUGCUUUCAAUACUCCCUGGAUUUCGUAAUGAGUGUCCCCAGCUCAGUGACACAAUGUUCUCCUUGUUUGCGUUACCAAACACAGGAAGUGCAAUGGGGAAAUAGUCGCGGAUAGAAAUGAGUUCAGACACUUGAUUUAGAUGUGACAAAUACCAAGCUGAUUUUCAUUUAGGAGAUUCCAGUCUCAUUUUAUGUGGAAAUAAGGGGACAAAGAAGACAAACAGAGCUAUAGGACUCAGAUUUCAGCUUUCUAAACAGUAUAGACAUCCCGACCUCCUACAAUAGGCUCCUCACCCACAGGACUAUUUUUCAUGCAUUUAUGUAUUUGUGUGUGUGUCUAUAAAUGGAGAGAGAAAUACAAACAGAGAGAAAAAAGACAAGCAGAGAGAGAGAGAUAAACAGAGGCAGGAAGAAAUAGAGACAGCGCUGGACACAGAGGCAUGCUGGAGAGAGAGGCUGACAGAAGAAUGCUCUCUGUAUACAUCCAUGUACAACUUGGGUUUCUCAACAACCAGGUAACUUCAAAGGCUUAGUUAGUGCCAGCUCCACCAUGAGGGGUGUUCUAGUGGAUACCAAACCCAGUGCCAUCGAGUCGAUUCCGACUCAUAGCAACCCUAUAGGACAGAGUAGAACUUCCACAGAGUUUCCAAGGAGCACCUAGUAGAUACAAACUGCCACCCCCUUGGUUAGCAGCCGAAGCAUUUAGCCACUAUGCCACCAGGGUUUCCGUUCUAGUGGAUAAGCACUUAGAAUUGAAACAAGUAUCAUUUGAUACUAAUUAUUAACCCCAAAUUAGAAUAUCUUAAAAGAUACUCAUCAAAUAGUAGCAGCUAAAAAUACAUCUGACCAUCAACAGAUAACUGGAUAAACCGAGUGUGGUACACGCAUACAAUGGGUGGCCCUCUGCCGUAAAGAGCAGUGAAGUCCUGAUGCAUGCCACGAGGUGGACGUGCCUUGAAAACUUUCUGCUGAGUGAAACGUCAGACACCAGAGGACACAGAUUGUAUGAUCCCACUUACGUGCCUAGAGACCAAAGCUUCUUAGUGGUUACCAGGGAUGGGAGGGAGCGGGAAGGGGGAGUCUUAGCUUAGGGGGCACUGAGCCUCUGUUAACGAUGGUGGAGCCAUUUGGAAAAGGAUAGUGGUGAGGGUUGUACAAUGUGAUGAGCAUAAUCAAUGUCUCUGAAUUAUACUUGUAAAAAUUGUUGAAUUGGCAGAAGUUGUAUAUAUUCUUAACACAGUAAAAGAAAUUAAAAAAUAUAUGUGAAGAACAGGAUGAAACUAUUCAAUUAGGUUGUUCUCAUUUUUUCUUAUCUUUUUUUAUGAGUCAGUUCUCUCUCUUUCUCCCCCUCUAUAUAAACAGAAAUUCUUUCUGGUUUGAAAAGAGUAACGCCAUUCUCCCAUCAACGAUCAUAAUAGUAAGAUUAACAGGCUAAUAGCCAGAAAUGGGCCUAAAAGAUCAGCAGAAUCAAGGGAGAGAAAACAUACACCCUCCCAGUAUUGUGAAGAGUUUCUGAAGUGUUUCUAACACCUAACCAGUCAUUUUUGUUUGGCAGCCCCAUUUUAGGUGAAAAUCUCUGAAGAAAGGAAGACACCUAGAUGGGGAAAAACAGAGUGGAAGCAACAGAAACAAAGAUAUGUAUAUUAUUAGCCUUUUGAAGUGUGUUUACUUGCCAUUAGAAGGACCUCCCUUUUCCGGUGAACCCACAAUGAUACCUGGAAAGGUACGGGGGUAGACCAUGGUGCUCACGCGAAAAGAAUACCUAAAAAUUAAUAAUAACAUUUGCCCAAGUGCAAUGUGGUAUCCUGAAUCGGAACCUGGGACAGAAAAAGGGCGUUAGUGCGAAAACUGGUGAAAUCCGAAAAAAGUCUGAAGUUUAAUUAAUUAAAAAGAAAGAAGAAGGAAAUCUGCUGAACUGAUGUGUGAAGCCCUGAGUGGUGAUCGUCCCGGAUUCUGGCUGGUGCUCAGCUCCCCUCACUUCUUCUUGCGUGCUGAUCCCCCUGUGACCGCAGCCUGCAAGGACAACAACCCUGGCUGACAUACGACUGUCACUGCAUGACAGAAUCCAAAGGAGGCCUUCCCAGCUGAGCCCUUCCCCAUUCCCGACUGUGAGAUAAAAUAAAUGGUUGUUGUUGUUUUAAACCAAAAAAAAAAAAAAAAAAUUAGCUUUGGG